rnacentral:lncRNA from 1 species
AGCAUAUUACACAGUAAUUCAGGUAUUUUGAAGAUUGAACGUACAGGUUCUGGUGCUUUAGUUUUUUGAGAUCCUUUGUAGGCCUGUCUAGAAUUUCUUUGCCCAUCUGUUCACCAGAAACAUGACAAAAAGAAAGCAUAUAAUAUAUAAUUGUGCAAAAACAAAUUCAGGGUGAGAAAACACACAUCGGUCAUAUACUCAGUCAGAGUUUGAAUGUUUUAAUGGCUAGCGUGGUCUAUAAUAGCAUUCAGAAAAAUAAUUUAAUUUUUUUUUUUUUUGGAUAAGUUUAUGGGAUCAUGAAUUCUGAACUUUAAACCAUCUAGUUUCACUUCAAUAAGGAGUGAAUAUAUAAAUAUGAAUAGUAAGUACGUGCUAUGGAUGAACAAACACCAUCUUUAUCGUCCAAUACAAGAAUAAAUUGCCGAGAUUAAAACUGUAAUUAUGACAUCCGGUACUAAUUGUAGCGGACGACGGGUACAUCCGCUACUAUUUAAUAGCGGAUGGUUGUAAAUUUGUAAUUAAUUUUGUCCGUUAUUAUUAAUAGCGGAUGACGUUUUUGCAGUUGUAAUCCGGGUCGUUUAUUCCAAUAAUGGAUGCUAAUAAUAGUGUUUGAUCUAUUAUUAUGAUUCACAACAAGUACUUGUUAUGCAUCAUAUAUAUAUAUAUAUAUAUAUAUAUAUAUAUAUAUAUUAUAUAAUAGCCAGUGAUGCCUAAAACUCUAAAUUAAAGUAGUUUUAAUAGAAUCAGGAGGAAAAAUAAUCUUUAUGAGCCUAUAUGGGUAAACUACUUUGCUCCAUAGGUGGAAUGGCUUGUUUUUCAAUUUCUUUUUGGAAAGCAAAAAUGGGGAAAUUGGAUAGACUAUUAAGGUAGAUAAAAAGUAUGUAUACUCCUGCAAAGAUUGAGGAUAUAUUUUGAACCUAAGAAUUCAUAUGCAAGAUCACUAAAAUGACAAUUUCCCUAGUUUCAUGGCACAAUUUUUUCUAGGAAAACAUUAAAUUCAUAUUGCUACAUGAAACAUUAAAACAAACUAAAAAAGAACUGGAUUAAUAUUCAGUUGGAUUAAACAUUAAUAUUCAAGGUUUGAAAUUAAGUUGAUAGAUUUUUUUCUGAACAAUUAAAAUUUCAGUUUCUUGUCAUUUACUAAUUACAUAUUACCUGGAUGUAUAUGUAAGACACUUACCUCUUGCGAUCAUAUUUGAAUUGCUUGAGCUUUGAGAUGCAGCCAAUCGUUCUUUUUUCAGCCGGAGAUCGUUUAGCAGCUUCUGUGCAAAGUCCGACUUUGUUGCCAUGUUGUAAUGUUAGUUCAAAGUACAUGCAAAUCAAACCCAAAGUUAUGAACUCUUUUUGGUUCCUAGCUAAUUUGAGAAACUAUUUGCACAGUUGGAGACAAGGUUGGAUUAUGUUUUGGUUUUCUUUCUUUUUGGCAGGUGAAAUGAUAGGGAAGAAAUCUUGCUUCUCUUUCAGUUGGGAGGGAUCUUUCAGUGUUGGGUAAGGUGGGAAGUGGAGUUCAAAGCAAUAAAAAUAUUGAAUGAUUGAUGUAAAUGUAAGAUCUCUCUCCACUUGAGUUACCUUGACUUUCAUUCUAAUCUAAAGCAAUCACAGAGCUUUUUAUUGUACUUCUGAAGCUAGCAUUUAUUGGAAGCUCUUGAAGUAUUUUGUUUAUGUCGGUACUUGUGGUUCGUAACUGGCCCAUCAAGUUUGGACCAAAGGUUUUGGGGGAGGGCGUAGCCCCACGGUAUAGUACGGUGUUACAAGGGCAUUAUGGGU